ensembl:lncRNA
GUAGGUCUGCGUUGGGUGUACAGGAAUUCUUCCACCACAAAUAUACUUACUCUACAUUCUGAUUUAUUUCCUGAAGUUUUCCUUGGAUAACUUUUUGGGAAUAAUGAAUGUUUUGGUUCCAGUGAGUUUCAAGGUCCCUCUUUUGGUGUAUCUAGAAAUAACAGAAACAAGGGAUUCAGAAUUAAAGAUAAAAGACAAGGUUUUGGCCAAGAAGUUUUUUUUCUCAUGAGUUUCUGCUAAAGGAGAGACGGCGCUGAGAGAAUUAAAUGAGGUAUUGAACGUGGGGUCACAAUUCAGGGCCUCCAGAGGCCAGAAGGGUAGCACAAAGGGUGGUAAAACUGUUGGGAAUGGGAGGGCCUAUGAGGCUCCCCUCACACAGGCCCUUACCUCAGGAGCUUUGCUGGCCAAAGUAGUGGUUUCCAGGGAGAACCCUGUGAGGAAGCGAUAGGAAGUGAAAAUUAAUUGUAUGUUUCUUUCUUUCUUUUUUCUUUCUUUCUUCCUCCCCACCAUGUUCUCUUCCUCCCUCCUGCCUCUCUUUUCUUCCUCACCUUUCUUUCUUUCUUCAAGCCUUUCUUUUUUUUUUUUUUCCUACUUUAGGAUAUCUAGAUCAUAAUUGAUAUUCUUUUUGUUGUUCCAUCUAUAUUAUUUAAAAGAAUACAAAAUAUUUGUAAGGACUUCUGUAGUUUCACUUACAAUGUUUUGAAGUGAAUUUCAAAAUAUAAUUUCACUAUAGGAUGGGAAAUUCCCCAACCUUGAAUUCUACCAAAAUGAAGUUUCCAGAAACUUAAAUCAAGCAGUUAGAAAGAGACACUUAUAUAGUUAGAAGCCAUUCCAGGUAGUGUUUGACAAAACCUAAGAGUAGUUAAGGCUAAUAGCCAUCCUAAUUCUUCUCCUUGCCAAGUUGAAAGACUCUGCUACGUAAGCAUAAAAGCAUAGCUCAGCUGAGGGUUCAGCCUUUUACUUGGGAGUUGAUCUGUUAGACUCUGGUCUAAUGUUGUUGGGAAUAGAAAGAGAGAAAAUUGAAUUUACCAAAAUUUGUCUUAUGAUGCAUAUUCUUUAUAGUUAAAAGGAAUAAUGUUAUAGGUGGAUGGUGAGGCUGUGGAGAGCAUAACUGAAUAACAACAGAUGGUCACUAGAUUACCUUCUAAAGAAGCUGGUGGUAGUUAAAACAGGGAUUUAUUUUACGGAGUGAGUUUUCAAACUAGACUACUGUCCGCAGAAUUCUUUUCUCUUUUCAUUCCCUUCAUAGCUCUUUGUUUCUUGUCUAUAUAAACAUGGAGAAGAUAUUUUUAAAAAAUGAGUUUAGAAAUGUGCCAAAUGUUAGUCUACCUGGGUUGGCCAUGUUAGCGUCUCCAUCUCAGCCUUGACGCUUUCCUUCUUGAAAAUGUUGGUUGCCCCUGAACGCUCCUUUAGCCCCUUCUCAAUAUUUUGCCUUUUGUACCAAUUAUGUUGGACAGAUUCUAAGAUGGGCUCCACCCUCCAUGCCUCCUGCCUCCUCAUGUUCAUGCUCUUGUAUAAUUCCCUUCCCUUGAGGGUGGGUGGGACCUGUGACUUAUUUUAACCAAUAGAAUAUGGCAAAAGUAAAAGAUAUCACCCCUGUGAUUACACUGUUAUUUAAGACUGACUUGGUAGCAGACCUGCUCUAAAGACUCACCUUCUAACAUGAAGUUAGAAUCCAUUUGAGAAAGUCCACAUGGCAGGGAACUGAAGGCAACUUCUGGGAACUGAGGGCAGCCUCCAGCCUCCAACCAGUAAGAAGACAGGGCCAUCAGUGCUACAACCACAAGGAGGAGAAUUCUGUCAACAAUUGGAACACAUUCUUCUAUUCCCAAGAUCUGGACAGCCAAGGAAACAAGCAAUUCUUCUAUGGCAUCAAGUCUAUGGUGCUUACCUUACUUGAGUCGCGGAAUUAUGGAAGACAAGCAGUUUAAUUUCACAAGUAGUCAUUGAGCUCCUGUUAUGUUCUCAGCACAGCAGUAGACAGAAAUGAUAAUGAGGGGCGUAAACCUCAGUCUCAGCCUUUAAAGAAUUCCUGAUCUAGCACAGAUAAAGUGAGCUGCUUUUCUUUUUUCUUGGAGAUCCUGGGCUUCAGACAGAGAGACUGCUGGGGGAUGUGCAAGGUGGAAAGCCGUGUUUGUGAUUCAACCCCCUCACUCUGAAGUAGAGAGCUAAAGCUAAGAGCACAUUGACUGACGACGGGAUUUAGAAGCAUCUGCUAUCUACCAAGCCAAGAUGGGGAAACGCCCACAGGGAUGAGAGGAAGGAAUUCAUAGCAUGUACAGUGAAUCGUGUUGUUGUCUAAUACUAUGCUGCUAGGAGAUGGAGUAUUUGGUUCUGUGGAGCAUGCAGCAGUCCCACUGGAAUUCUAACAUAGGCCAGGUUACAUGAAUAAGAAAGAUGGACUUUAAUGAAGAUUAUUCCCUUUGAUGUAAGAGAGACCCAUGAAAGCAUCCAAACAAAAGAAAGGAAGAAGCAAGGAUUAAGACAGUCAACUCUCCCUUAGCCACAAGCCUGAAGAAAGAGCAGGGCCUGUUUCUCUGUCGUUGUGACCACGCCAGGCCUCGUGCAGGGCCCGACCUGUGGAAGUGACUCAGGAACUGCCAGUUUUAAGUGUCCCUUUUGUGAAACUGUAACACUCAUUUCGUCUAACUUCUGCUUUACAGCCUGGCACUAAGAUGCCAAAGUUUUUCUAGUUUUAGCUCAUAAUCGACUUCUCUAUGACUCAGGUCUCUCUCGUAGAAAAGAUAAUGCUGCCAGUGGCAGUUGCCUCACAGGCUCUGUAUCACCACUCCUACCCCCCUACAAACACUCAAAUUGGCUCCAGACUGGUUCUGGAUUAGUUAAUUCCUAAGCUCUUUCUGUGUUUUCCUGUAUUUGAAGAGCACAUGUCAGAGAGUUUGGUCCUCACAUACACGUUUCCAAAGCAGUAACAGCAGCUCAGUUCUAGGACGUUGGUCCUGCUGAAACCCAGGGAGGGAAAGGGAGAACUUUCUCUAGGGGGCAGUUUUCAUAGGCCCCUUAAAUUCCAUAGCAAGGGCUCUGUUAACAGACACUGAGGCAUAGGAGUAAGAAUGUCUGCUAGCAUGAGGGUAUGGGAAUAUGCUUCUAGAAAGAGUCAUACUCAGUAGAGGACCAGGGUGCCAGGGACACAGGAAUCAAAGGAGAAAUGGAAAUCAGGAACGUUUAAAUACAUUGAAUGGGAAACAAUGAUACCUCGGAAAAGACUUGAUGAUUGGACUGCUACCGUUGCAAAUUUCUAAACUCUAGAACACAUGCUAUGUCAAAUGGCGCUUUCUGGGAUGGGAGAUAGAACUCAUAGGUGGAGUUCCCUCUCAGAUAUGAUAGAAGUACUGUGCCCAAAUUAACUGUUGUUUAAAAAGACCUCUCAACAGAGUUUAAAUUUGCAGGUGAUGGUUUUCUUGAGCAGGCAUGGCCUGAUUGACCUCCUUUGGAGGCGGAAUCAAAAUUUCGCCCAUAUACCCCCUUCUCUCAGAUAUCAUUGACUCUUUGCUGUAUUCUUCGGCAGCCCUAAGUUCUGGGUUUCUUUGCCUGAGAUGAGGGCUUGAGGACUGGGAAUUACCUUCGCUUCUACAUUGUUAGGUUUACAGCAUACUGGAGUAAUCUCUUAUGUUCUAAUAAAUGUUUGAACUCUUUAAAAAGUGAGGUACAUGACGGACUUGAUGUGGAACUAAUUCAGCUUCUGUGGUCCAAAGGAGCCACCUAUAUUCCAGUGAUGGACAACACAGGCUGUGGUUGCUAAAGGAACCAAAUUCUAUUCAGGCAUUGAGAAAACAUCUUCAACUAAGGGAAAGCAGAAUACAAAAAGGACUUCACUUUCUUUGGGCUUUUCGUACCCGAGGACAAGAAUAUUUGAUUUUGGAGUUGAAUUACUUUGAAUUUUGAUGUAUUUGAACUUGACUUUCCAGACAAUCUAAUCUAUGGACUUUAUCCCAAAAAAUUUUAUCCUGGAAGGGAGUUUAUAUUCCGAUAUUGGGAAUUUUAUUAUUGGAUUAAUUUGAAAUUUCCUGGUGAGUUAUAUUAGGCAGUGUGCUUGAACAGAAAUCAGGAUGGGGAAAACAUAGGCAGGCAAAUAUCGGUUGGCUACAGUGGUCUUAAAAUUAAUUUAAUUAAUGACCUGUUUCAGUGGGGAAACAUCUACACUGUCAUCAGCAACCUCAGUAGAGUCCUCAAUGCAGGAGGGAUUGGUAUGGGGGAGAACUUUAUAAAAAUAGAAUUAGACGACCCUAAUGGGCUGCCCAAAUUCUCCCUCAAGGAGAUAACCAUACCAUUUUGACCAUAUAUUUAAAGUUAAACCAAAUGAGUUAAGAGAACCAAGGUCUUGGGAGUAUUGAUUGGAAAGCAUCCGUUAUCCUGGUUCAUGUUCCCAAGGGAAGCAACAUCCAUCAGCAUAACCUCUUGGCUCCUCUCCUCUCAUCUUACUCACUCCCUUUCAAGGCAGGUGGAAUGAAUGAUCAAGUUGGGGAGACAGGGAGAAGAACCAGGGAUGCUCAGUCCUUUCUUUGCUCUCCUUUUGGGCUCUUUCUGCCUUCAGAGAGCCUACGUUCUUCUCUGCUCUUGGCCAUGAGCUAAGCUUAGUGCUUGAAGCUUCUCUUGGGGAGGACUACAGUUUUGUCAUGCUAUUCAAGAUUGAGGUGCAGUAUUAUGAAAUCUGUUGUUGCUUUUCACUUAAACCACAAUCUCUGUCACUUCUAUAAUUGAAAAAGUUGACGUUUUGAACUCUCUCUGCCUUGUCAUAGAUGCUGGAAAGACUUCUAUUUAUAUGCUAGAUAGUCUUUGUCAAACUACUUAACCUAUUUCUCAAUUUCCUCUUGUGUAAAAUGGGGGAAAACCUGUAUCUACUUUUACAAGAUUGUUAUAUGUUAAAAGAGUUAAUGGAAAGUGCUUAGGAAAGUACUAUGUGAGUGUUUGCUAUUACUUCUUUAUCUUGCCUAUCAAUUUGUACAGAAUUUGGGGAAUGGGGAUGAGAGAUGCUUUUUAUUGGGUCUCCCAUGAAGUCCAAUAAUCAGUACUACGUACACACACACAAUAAUGUCAUAGUCCUGGCUUCAGUUUAGUAGUAGGAACAGACAAGUGAAUUGAUAAUUGUAGUACUGCGUGUGACGUGUUAUUAUAAAGACAUGCUAUGUGCUAUGAGAAGUCAGAGAUGGGAGCAACUGACAAUUCAUAUGUUACUACAGCUGUACUCGAGACUAGGCCAAGACAGAUUGUGAAUUGGAGCCUAAUAUUUUUCAGCCCCAGAGUUAUACUUUCAUUGUAGUGCCCUCCUUCCCCAUUUUUCUGCCACACAGUGAUCUAUGCUCUCUCACCACUCCCUGGCUGCCCUCCUGGAGUUGCUCCCUCCAAUAUUCAGUUCCAGAUUCAAUAGCAGGUUGGCACAACGGCUGCCUGAGGCACCCAUCCAUAUGAGCUGCCAAACCAUCAGCUGAGGAUUGAAAACAUCCCUGGAUAUAUAACAAGGUAGAGAAAAUUGAGUUUAUCAGAAAAGAAAGGACAUGUGUACCAGACGAGGAUUAUAGUCCAAGCAGCAGAAGCUAGCUGGGGAUGAUUAAGCAGAAAAGGAAUUUAUUAAAAAGAUAUUUAGCAGAUCACAGAAUCAUCAAAAGCAAGCUGGAAACUAAGUAUUUAGGGCAAUGUUCCAAAACCACGUUGUACUGCCGGUCUGGUGAGAAAACUGCAGCUGAGGCCACUGCACAAUAGAUAAAACGAUUUGCACCACUGCCGUUUGUGCAUCAGAACGUCACUGCUUCUGCAACCACUGUUGCUGCCUGUACUGAUGCCUCUUCCUCACCAGCAAAGCAACUUGCAUCUUCUAUAGCCACUCCAGACAAUGCUGGAUAUUUCUCCUUUGGUCUUGCAGCACAACAACAGCAGAAAAACAGAUUCUGUGCAAUUCUUGCUUUUGUUACUGCUUACUUUCUAUAACAGUUUUGAAAAGGUGGCAUCCGGUUGGUGGAGUCCAGGUAACAGGUUUGAAUUCUAGCUUCAAAGAAGCUGACAAAGCCAUGUCUCUGGCUUCUCCCUUGGGGUGGUGUUGGAAAGGUCUUAGGAAGCCAGAACACAUGACAGAUGUCUAGUAUACCACUAAGAACCUUGGAGGAAGAGUGAGACCCUUUAAAGACUUGAUUGAAUAAUGAUUGAUGCUAGUAAAUACUUUAUAAAGUCUUUUUCUUUCUUUUUCAAAUUAAUGGAAAGGUUUUCUUUUUCUUUUUUUUUCCUUUUUCCUGGAAGUUUGGAGCCAGAACUCAGAAAAAUACAUGCAAGGCCAAGCACAUCCACUAUGGGUUCCCUUUAUCCAACAUUCCCCACACACUGAUCUGCCUCUCCUUUAAGUGUUGAAUACAUAUUGAAAGCAAAUUAUUUUGAAGGUGCAUUGAGUUACUAGCCUACCUGGGGUACUCACAUGUCUUCAUAUUUAAUGGUGUGUCAUGGUAAAGUUCUCUCCCUGCCUUCUCCAAAGUACGGUAUCAAAGAUUUUCUUGUUGAAAUAAGACAGUGUCAGAUAUUGUCUGAUCUUCAAAGCCUUCUGAAAUCGGGACUAAAUUAGCUCUUCAUCUUCUAGUACAUUCUUCCCCUUACCAGAUGCCAUGAUCACACUGGGCACUAUAGGCCUUGCUCAAAUAUAUCAUUCUAUUCGUGCUUCCAAGUAUUUAUGAAUUCAGGCCUUGAUGACAAAAUGCCUUCAAGUCUUGGCUCUGAAAUCUCAUAGAUAAGAUAGUUUGGUCAAGUUUUCUUCCAUAAAAAAGGAAAUACCAAUACUAUCAAGUAAAUACUCAGAAAAUGUUAGCCAUUAUUAUUAUUAUUAUUAUUGUUUUUUCUUCUUUCACAGUUGAAGUUCUACCCAAACUACCAGUUAAAAGGAAAUGCAAAUGCUUCCAGAGAACCCCACUCCCACCACCACUGUCCCCUCAAACACAAUUUUUCUUUGUUCUCCUUUUAUAACACUCAUCACAUUUUCACAGACUGGUUGUAUUAGAGUCACAUAUUAGCUAUUCCAACUGCCAUCACUUCCUUUGUGAC